rnacentral:rRNA from 1 species
AUGGCGAGCGCGGCGACGUCAAAGAAGGCGGCGAACCGGCUGGUGGUGGAGGAGGCCGCCACCAACGACGACAACUCCGUGUGCAACCUCCACCCGGCCACAAUGGAGAAGCUCUCCAUAUUCCAGGGCGACAUCGUGCUACUCAAGGGCAAACGUCGCCACAACACGGUCUGCAUGGCACUGGCCGACGACACCUGCGAGGGGCACAAGCUCAGGAUCAACAAGGUGGCCCGCUCCAACCUGCGUGUGCGCAUCGCCGACGUCGUGUCCGUGCACCUGUGCCACGACGCCAAGUUCGGCAAGCGCGUGCACAUCCUCCCUCUGGACGACACCGUCGAGGGCAUCACGGGCAACCUCUUCGGCGCCUACCUCAAGCCCUACUUCGUGGACGCCUUCCGCCCGGUCCACAAGGGCGACCUCUUCCUCGUGCGCGGCGGCAUGCGGAGCGUCGAGUUCAAGGUCAUGGAGAUCGACCCCGCGGUGGACUACUGCGUCGUGGCGCCCAACACGGAGAUAUUCUGCGAGGGUGAGCCGGUCAAGCGGGAGGACGAGGAGAGGCUUGACGACGUCGGCUACGAUGACGUGGGUGGCAUGGGGAAACCACUGACUCUGAUCAGGGAGCUCGUCGAGCUGCCACUCAGGCAUCCGCAGAUCUUCAAGAGCAUUGGCGUCAAGCCUCCCAAGGGCAUCCUCCUGUACGGCCCUCCAGGGUCCGGCAAGACGUUGAUCGCCCGUGCGGUGGCCAACGAGACCGGGGCCUUCUUCUUCCUUAUCAAUGGGCCAGAGAUAAUGUCGAAGAUGGCCGGAGAGAGCGAGAGCAACCUGAGGAAGGCCUUCGAGGAGGCUGAGAAGAAUGCGCCCUCUAUCAUCUUCAUCGACGAGAUCGACUCCAUUGCUCCGAACAGGGAGAAGACUCACGGCGAGGUCGAGAGGCGCAUCGUCUCCCAGCUGCUGACACUGAUGGAUGGCAUGAAGGCCCGCGCGCACGUCAUCGUCAUGGGCGCGACGAACCGUCCCAACAGCAUCGACCCUGCCUUGAGGCGCUUCGGAAGGUUUGAUCGCGAGAUCGACAUCGGCGUGCCGGACAAGGUCGGGCGUCUCGAAGUGCUCCGCAUCCACACCAAGAGCAUGAAGCUGGAUGAGGACGUCAACCUUGAGCUGAUUGCCAAGGAUACACAUGGCUACGUGGGCGCCGACUUGGCCGCGCUCUGCACCGAGGCGGCGCUGCAGUGCAUCAGGGAGAAGAUGGACGUGAUCGACUUAGAGGACGACACCAUUGAUGCCGAGAUCUUGAACUCCAUGGCCGUCACCAAUGACCACCUUAAAACGGCUCUCGUCGGCACGAACCCGUCUGCGCUUCGUGAAACCGUCGUGGAGGUGCCCAACGUCAGCUGGACCGAUAUUGGCGGCCUCGACGGCGUCAAGAGGGAGCUGCAAGAGACCGUCCAGUACCCGGUCGAGCACCCGGAGAAAUUCGAGAAGUUUGGCAUGUCGCCGUCCAAGGGCGUCCUCUUUUACGGGCCACCAGGAUGCGGCAAGACCUUGCUGGCGAAGGCGAUCGCCAACGAGUGCCAGGCCAACUUCAUCAGCAUCAAGGGGCCAGAGCUUCUCACCAUGUGGUUCGGCGAGAGCGAGGCCAACGUGCGCGAGAUCUUCGACAAGGCGCGUCAGUCUGCGCCGUGCGUCCUGUUCUUUGACGAGCUCGACUCCAUCGCAACCCAGAGGGGCGGCAGGAUGGGCGACGCCGGCGGCGCGGCGGACAGGGUCUUGAACCAGCUUCUCACCGAGAUUGACGGCAUGAACGCCAAGAAGACGGUCUUCAUCAUCGGCGCCACAAAUAGGCCGGACAUAAUUGACUCGGCGUUGCUCCGUCCUGGCCGCCUGGACCAGCUCAUCUACAUCCCCUUGCCAGAUGAGGCCUCGCGGCACCAGAUCUUCAAGGCCUGCCUCAGGAAGUCUCCCGUGGCCAAGGACGUUGACCUCGGCGCGCUGGCAAGGUUCACCGCCAGCUUCAGCGGUGCCGACAUCACGGAGAUCUGCCAGAGAGCGUGCAAGUACGCCAUUAGGGAGGACAUUGAAAAGGACAUGGAGAGGCAGAGGAUGGGGAAAGACACCAUGGAUGUGGACGGCGGCCAGAAAGAUGAGGAGAUGGCAGAGAUUAAGGCGGCUCACUUCGAGGAGUCGAUGAAGUACGCGAGGAGGAGCGUGAGCGAUGCCGACAUCAGGAAGUACCAGGCCUUCGCGCAGACGCUGCAGCAGUCUAGGGGGUUCGGCAUGGAGUUCCGCUUCCCGGCGCAGCCACAGGCGGCAGAAGCUGCUGCUGACACCACCGCGGCAGCUGAUGAGGAUGAAGAUGAUCUGUACAAGUGA